rnacentral:lncRNA from 1 species
CCUCCGUCCAGGGAAGCGGUGGGACCCUCCUUCAUCAGAGGUCAGCUCUGCGUCCACUCCCAGAGGCCGCCAGAUGGCAGUGUUGUCGCACCUGGCCUGGCUGUCCCACAGCAUGGGAUCUGGUGUUCUGUAAAGAAGUGGGUUGCUGGCCAAGUUCUGCCAGUGUGUAGACUUUGCUGAGCUCCUGUGAGAGCCCUGAGCGUAAUCGUAAAUCCUGUUUCAUAACGUGGAAGGAGGGGAGCCUGGCUGACCCCGUACAUCUCAGCUCAUCCUCAUAUCAAAGUGGAAAGGACAGGAGACAGACCCAGCAAAACGAGUAGUCAUCUCUACCAGGAGGAGCUAAGCGAAAAAGCUGAGUUGAUUGUUGGGAACCUCGAAAGAGGCUGAGAAGGUGACGACACUGCUGCUCCGUCUGUGACGACGUUGCUGCUUCUCUUCUUCAUUUAGGAUGCUGAGAACAUUCAUAGCUUCUCCGGAAGUUGUCCUGUGGGACCACACCAGCCUUCUUCUUAGCUUCCUGGAAGGGUGCUGUUUACAGAUUCUCCGGAACCUUCUUGGGCUUAGGGAAGAUCUCCAGAAGACCUCCAGCCAUCUUGCUCCUGGACCCUGAGACUCUGGAAACCUUUUAAAUGUCGUAAAGUUUUCUCCAUUUGUGGUUUCCUUGUGAAAUUUCUCAGGGAGAACUUUUCCUGAAAGCUGUUGUCAGUGACUUGAGCAAGGAGGGCAUUUCUGCGGGAAAGGUGUGAACUGAGAGAAAGCAUGGAGGACAAGGACAGAGCCGGGGAGACCCGGGGAGUGUCACAGAGCCUGUGCGAUUCGUGACAGUCCUUUCUGCAGGUCUGAAGAGAAUACGAACCAGCGCUGAAGCCAGCAUUGCUGCAUUAUGAGAGCAUAGAUACUAAAUUAUGCGUUUUCCUGGAAAUCAGAAUGUGCUUGUUUUAUGUUGUUCACUUAGAGGUUGGGUUAGAAUAUAUAUCCAGACACUCAUUGUGCUCAAUUUAGUCAUUCUUUCACCAAUUUUCAAGCUCCUACUAUGUCCUGGGCACUUUCUAAGUCCUGGAAACACAACCGUGAGCAGACAGAUGAAGUCCCUGCUCUCGAGGUUGACAGCAGACAGACAAACAGGAAGACAUCAGAGUCUACGAGGAAAACCGAGAGUGUGAGGUGGCAGAGAGCAGGCGGGAGCUACUGUAGUGGAAGGGAUUAUGGAGGCGCUGACGGGGAGCUGAGACUUGAUAACAAGAAAAAGCCACGGAUUUGAGAAUCUUGGGGAUGAGCUUGCAACGUUCAUUUGUUCCCCAAUUACCGGCUGAGCGCUAUCUCCGUGCCAGGCCCUGGGAUGCGACCCUGAACAGAAGAGACCCCAGUCCUCCUCUGGAGAAGCUCACGGAAUAGUGGGGGAAGUGAGACACCAACACGAGAGAAAACCUCCUGCGGACGGCUCCGCCCGGGCACGAGCAGCAGCAGACGCUCUGCAGACCAGAGGGCAACUCCUCACGGAACAUUGACUUUCCGACUGUCACCCUAGAGGGCCAGAACCUCACCCCUUUGCACUUCAGGCUCUAGAUCCACGUCUACCAUUAUUGCUUAAUAAAUAUUUGUUACAAUAAUUAAUUAAAUCAAUUCAGUGGUUUCUUGAAUAAAACUUUGGCUGGCAGCUAUAAAUCUCUUUGAUGCUUGAAGAAGUUAUUGUUACUAAAUGCAGUUUUGUAGGAAAA